GAUCCUGGCUCAGGAUGAACGCUAGCGACAGGCUUAACACAUGCAAGGUCGAGGGGCAGCACGGGAGUAGCAAUACAACUGGUGGCGACCGGCGCACGGGUGAGUAACGCGUAUGCAACCUACCUAUCAGAGGGGAAUAACCCGGCGAAAGUCGGACUAAUACCGCAUAAAACAGGGGCACCGCAUGGUGAUAUUUGUUAAAGAGAUUCGCUGAUAGAUGGGCAUGCGUUCCAUUAGGUAGUCGGUGAGGUAACGGCUCACCAAGCCGACGAUGGAUAGGGGAACUGAGAGGUUGGUCCCCCACACUGGUACUGAGACACGGACCAGACUCCUACGGGAGGCAGCAGUGAGGAAUAUUGGUCAAUGGGCGGGAGCCUGAACCAGCCAAGUCGCCGUGAAGGAAGAAGGAUCUAUGGUUCGUAAACUUCUUUUGCAGGGGAAUAGAGUGCAGGACGUGUCCUGUUUUGUAUGUACCCUGAGAGUAAGGAUCGGCUAACUCCGUGCCAGCCGCCGC
rnacentral:rRNA from 1 species